CCAUGCCGUAAACGAUGAAUGCUAGGUGUUGGAGGGUUUCCGCCCUUCAGUGCCGCAGCUAACGCAUUAAGCAUUCCGCCUGGGGAGUACGACCGCAAGGUUGAAACUCAAAGGAAUUGACGGGGGCCCGCACAAGCGGUGGAGCAUGUGGUUUAAUUCGAAGCAACGCGAAGAACCUUACCAGGUCUUGACAUCUUUUGAUCACCUGAGAGAUCAGGUUUCCCCUUCGGGGGCAAAAUGACAGGUGGUGCAUGGUUGUCGUCAGCUCGUGUCGUGAGAUGUUGGGUUAAGUCCCGCAACGAGCGCAACCCUUAUGACUAGUUGCCAGCAUUUAGUUGGGCACUCUAGUAAGACUGCCGGUGACAAACCGGAGGAAGGUGGGGAUGACGUCAAAUCAUCAUGCCCCUUAUGACCUGGGCUACACACGUGCUACAAUGGGAUGGUACAACGAGUUGCGAGACCGCGAGGUCAAGCUAAUCUCUUAAAGCCAUUCU
rnacentral:rRNA from 2 species